rnacentral:rRNA from 1 species
GAUGAACGCUAGCGGCAGGCCUAACACAUGCAAGUCGAGGGAGAGGUUAUCUUCGGGUAACCAAAACCGGCGCACGGGUGCGUAACGCGUAUACAAUCUGCCUUUCACAUAGGGAUAGCCCGAAGAAAUUUGGAUUAAUACCUAAUGGUAUAUAGGAGCGGCAUCGUUUUUAUAUUAAAGCUACGGUGGUGAAAGAUGAGUAUGCGUUCUAUUAGCUAGUUGGAGAGGUAACGGCUCCCCAAGGCGACGAUAGAUAGGGGUUCUGAGAGGGAUGUCCCCCACACUGGUACUGAGAUACGGACCAGACUCCUACGGGAGGCAGCAGUGAGGAAUAUUGGACAAUGGUCGGAAGACUGAUCCAGCCAUGCCGCGUGCAGGAUGAAGGUCCUGUGGAUUGUAAACUGCUUUUGUAAGGGAAGAAUAAGGAGUACGUGUACUUUGAUGACGGUACCUUACGGAUAAGCAUCGGCUAACUCCGUGCCAUCAGCCGCGGUAAUACGGAGGAUUCGAGCGUUAUCCGGAAUCAUUGGGUUUAAAGGGUCCGUAGGCGGGCUGAUCAGUCAGAGGUGAAUGCGCUUAGCUCAACUAAGCAACUGCUUCUGAAACUGUUAGUCUUGAAUGAUUGUUAAAUUACUUGAAUUGGUAUUGUAUCGGUUAAAUGCUUUCAUUAUCCCACAUCUCCGUCUG